AACGAACGCUGGCGGCAUGCCUAACACAUGCAAGUCGAACGAGACCUUCGGGUCUAGUGGCGCACGGGUGCGUAACGCGUGGGAACCUGCCCUUAGGUUCGGAAUAACUCCCCGAAAGGGGUGCUAAUACCGGAUAAUGUCUUCGGACCAAAGAUUUAUCGCCUUUGGAUGGGCCCGCGUUGGAUUAGCUAGUUGGUAGGGUAAAAGCCUACCAAGGCGACGAUCCAUAGCUGGUCUGAGAGGAUGAUCAGCCACACUGGGACUGAGACACGGCCCAGACUCCUACGGGAGGCAGGAGUGGGGAAUAUUGGAACAUGGGCGAAAGGCUGAUCCAACAAUGCCGCGUGAGUGAUGAAGGCCUUAGGGUUGUAAAGCUCUUUUACCCGGGAUGAUAAUGACAGUACCGGGAGAAUAAGCUCCGACUAACUCCGUG
rnacentral:rRNA from 1 species